rnacentral:ribozyme from 1 species
GCGUGAGGUGACGUCGUCAAAAAAGACCAAAAAGACAAGAUUAAUUAUUUUUAAUUAUUUUUAAGACAAGUUUAAUUCCAAAUAAAUAC